UAGGGAAUCUUCGGCAAUGGACGAAAGUCUGACCGAGCAACGCCGCGGGAGUGAAGAAGGGUUUCGGAUCGUAAAACUCUGUUGUUAGAGAAGAACAAGGACGUUAGUAACUGAACGUCCCCUGACGGUAUCUAACCAGAAAGCCACGGCUAACUACGUGCCAGCAGCCGCGGUAAUACGUAGGUGGCAAGCGUUGUCCGGAUUUAUUGGGCGUAAAGCGAGCGCAGGCGGUUUCUUAAGUCUGAUGUGAAAGCCCCCGGCUCAACCGGGGAGGGUAAUUGGAAACUGGGAGACUUGAGUGGAGAAGAGGAGAGUGGAAUUCCAUGUGUAGCGGUGAAAUGCGUAGAUAUAUGGAGGAACACCAGUGGCGAAGGCGGCGCUCUGGUCUGUAACUGACGCUGAGGAUGGAAGGCGUGGGGAGCAAACAGG
rnacentral:rRNA from 1 species